AAAUCAGCCGUUUCCGGAACAGCCGCUUACAUCAUAGAAAUUAUGAUUCGCGGUCUUUCUAAAUAGCCGAGACGAGAUGUUAUUGAUGUUCACUGGUUAAUGCUUUCAAAAAUAUAUUUUUCAGUAUAAUAAUAUGCACACCAGAAGCAGCGAUAUAUUUCAGCAAUGCACGAAUUUCGUUUUUGUGAGGAUGUGAGCGACCAAAGCUAUCCGGAAGUCAACAUCGGCAUGCCUUUCAACUAAGCUUUAACACCAAUUUACGUUGACUGUAAGUGUCUAUGUGACAGUUUUGGUGUUCAGCUAGCAAUUUGCAGUUAUGGCCGCCAAUGUGCAGAUAAAAGGCAAAGCUUCAAAGUUUGACUGUCUCAUCUGUAGCAGGAAUCUGUCUUCAAGGAAGCGACUUGAGACACAUAUGCAGGCAAAUCAUAACAGAAGUUCAGUAGAGUCUAGCUACAAAUGCAAACACUUUUUGAACAGGAUGCUUAAGUGUAGAAGCAAGUGGACAACAGCAAAAAUAAUGGUGUCUUGUAAAGUUGCAGGAAGACUCUUACCAGUCUCACCAGAUGAAUGCUGUGAAGGUCUUCUGCAGUCAACAAACUCAACUUCUGCAUUGAAUUUAAAAAAGUGUUUUCAUGUUGAAAUUAAUGGACAAAAGUACUCCAGUCAGGCAUAUCAGCGAAUGAAAAAAAGAACUUGUUAUUUUGUGGUUUGUCAUUCAGGUGAAGUAGUUUCAGUCAAGUUUUUUUUUGUUAACAAAGAAAAGAAAGUUUUGCUGUUGUGAAAGUAUAUAAAAUACCUGAUGACUGUUACAUCCUUAGAUCUAGUGGCAGACAUAUAUUUAAAGUUG